GUGGGAGAUAGGUACAUUAGGAAUGAUCCCAAGACCUGCAAUGAGGUAAUGUUAGAUAUUGACUCUAAGAAAUAGAUAGAAGCGAUGAAGUCAGAAAUUGACUCCAUGUAUUCCAACCAGAUUUGGUCCUUUGUAGAUCGACUUGAAAGUAUUAUACCUAUAGAAUGUAAAUGGAUUUAUAAAAGAAAAAUUAGGUUGGA
rnacentral:lncRNA from 1 species